ACGUGUUGUAAAGUAAAACUGAGUAAAUCCAUUUGGAAUCUCAAUAAUCGUUUAAUUCUCUAAUUAUCAUAAAACACAUCUGUGACGUCGCGGUUCUGUCUGCUCGAGGACAGCGCGGGAGCGGGGAGCGACGAGGAGCGUCAAACGAGGGACGAUUUAAAACCAUCAUUACACGCUUUUUCUGACUGAAUUCGGCGUCUCCGGGUCGUGUUGAAUUUCGGUCGAAACCUUUCUUGCCAGACAGUGGGCUGAGACUGGUUACACCAAAUUGUAAGGCGUCAUGCCUCAUUGGCUGAAGGUCACAACUCUGACCACAGGGGACGUUCUCUCCCAACUGCAGGACUUCCCGAAAAAAAAGUAGACACAUGCCAAACUGACAGGCUGACUGACAAGAGACAGACAGUGAGUUGAGGUUACGCACGCUGUCUGACAGACUAGACACAGCUAAUGCACUAUCCUUGCACGACUGCACUCCAUCAUUGUAGAUCUAACUUGUUGUAAUCUUAAGUUGCUGCUUCCUGUCUCGCAUUGUAUUUUAGUGGUAUUCUUAUUUGCACUUACUGUAAACUACACUGUGUUUAAAUGUGAAGCUUGCAUUGUAACCCUGCGCUGCCCUGUAACACCUGUGUGAGUCACCUGGGAUAAAGACGUCUGACAAAUGAAGACAUGGGUGCUUUACUCAGCAGUGCUAUACCGAUCAUCACCAGUUAGUCCCAGUCAGUACUUUAAUCUCUUUGAAAAGAAUUGAUGUUGUGUUUUUAUUUAAAAAAAAAAAAAAAAAUGUAGUGCUUACAUAAGUUUUGAGCCCUCAUUUGUUAUUUAAGGUGUGUGUGACAUGCUUUCAUGGGGUUUAAAGUUUUACGAUUUCUAAUUUAAAAAAAUGGGCAGUGUCAUUAUAAAAGGUAUUUAAAUAUUUAUUUUAAGUCUUUGACAUUACCGUAACAAUAGUUAUUGUAGUAAAUACAACUGCACGAGUGGAGGUUAUGCUAGCAAAGGGGUGUGGGUUCUAUAUAAAAUGCUGCUAACAUAUUUAAUUAAAUAUCAGUACAAAACCUGAUGCAAGUGCAAAAACUAAACAACUCCUUUUAUUUGUUAAGUAAAGUGUAUCUUUUUUGAAAAUAUUUUCACUAAUAUGUGUAAUGUCAUAAUGCCUAAUCAAUGUGCUGUAUAUUCUUUAUACAGCCGUUUUUAGUUGUUACAGUAACGACAGAUUUAUGUGCUAAAACAAAUUUGAACAAAGAUACAAAUGUCAGCUCAGCUGAGUUUGUGUUUAGGCCGUUAACAUUAUUUCUUGUUUCAUUCUGGUUGUUUUGCAACCCCAAUUUGUCCCCUUUCUGUAGAAUGACCCAUAUAUAUGCGUGUGUAUAACUGCAGUGUACAUUGAUGAAAAAAAUAAAGAAUGGGUGUCCACACAAAGUUUACAUUUUAAACAGAAUGGUUGGUUGUGUCUCUCUCUCUCUCUCUCUCUCUCUCUCUCUCUCUCUCUCAUUCAUAUAUAUAUAUAUAUAUAAAUAAUGUCUAUUCAAUCAAAUAUUUAACAGAUAUCAGACAAAAUCCCAGAAAAUGUGAACAAAAAUACAGAUCAAAGGGUCAUAAGUUUUUAAAUCUAUAAGAUCAUAAAUUCUUUUAGACAAAAAAUGUUCAGUGUGUGCCUUUUGGUGUUUGUUUCUUAUUGUUUUUUUUUAUAAAAAUGUUAACUUUAAUAAAUUAAGAAAUAAAAGAAGUGUACCAUAACAACAUUGAAAAAGAAUGAUUGAAAAAUGUCUGUCUUGUCAUUUCUUCAAUUGUGAACAUGUUUUUCUUCACUGGUAAUGUGUUGAAUUAGCUCUCAAUUCAGUGUGGAGUAGUGGUUAGGACUCUUGACCGGAGGGUUGUGG